GACGUAGGGGGCCAGCGUUGCUCGGAAUUACUGGGUGUAAAGGGUUCGUAGGCGGUGUGGCAAGUCGGGAGUGAAAUCUCUGGGCUCAACCCAGAGUCUGCUUCCGAAACUGCUGUGCUUGAGUGUGGGAGAGGCGCGUGGAAUUGCAGGUGUAGCGGUGAAAUGCGUAGAUAUCUGGAGGAAUACCGGUGGCGAAGGCGGCAUCCUGGACCGAUAUUGACACUGAUGAGCGAAAGCUAGGGGAGCAAACGGG
rnacentral:rRNA from 1 species